UCAGUACGGGAGGCAGCAGUAGGGAAUCUUGCACAAUGGGCGAAAGCCUGAUGCAGCAACGCCGCGUGAAGGAUGAAGGCCUUCGGGUUGUAAACUUCUGUUCUAAGGGAAGAAACAAAUGACGGUACCUUAGGAGCAAGCCCCGGCUAACUACGUGCCAGCAGCCGCGGUAAUCUGA
rnacentral:rRNA from 1 species